AGCCCAGCUGUUCAUGCUAUCCUUCCUCGUCCCCUCCCCCACUCUCAUCUCCCGUCCACCCGGAACACCGGCGGGAUCGGCCGCAACGGUUCGGGAACCGCCGGUGUCCGCUUCCUCAGCGCCGCCUGCUAGGCGGGAGCCGUGUGGGACCCCAGCGCCCCACUCCGGCCCCCGCCAAGGAGCAGGUGAGCCGCUGCCGCUGCCGGGAGACUCCCGGGCGCCGGGAACUGAGGCGGUGAACGGCUAGGCCAAGGCGGGUCUCCAGGCAAGGGCUGCGUCGGUCACCAGCAGUCAUCCAGGAAUGGCACAACUAGAGAGGAGCACCAUCUCUGGCUUCAGCUCUAAGUCCAGGCAAAAGCCGUUCGCAUAUGAUAUUAAGCGCGAAGUGUACAAUGAGAAGACCUUUCAACAGAAACACAAAAGGAAGGCCUCCUCUUCUGGGAACAUGGACAUCAAUAUCACCACCUUCAGACACCAUGUCCAGUGCUGUUCCUGUCACUCUUAAAGCCUCAUCUCUCCAUGUCUGUUGUAUUUUUCACCUUGGGGAAGAGCUUUGAUGACUCUGCCUUGGAUGGCUGGUCUUACCCUAAGUGACCGACACACAGAGAAGAAGGGAGACUGAACCAGCUGCUCAUGGCACAGGUUCCUACGAUGCAUGCCUACAAUCUUUCCCUUCCUAGGAUGGAUGUGUAUGUAUCGAUUCAAGGAUUGGCUUCUUGGAGACUUACUUGCUGCUAUAAGUGUUGGCCUUGUGCAAGUUUCCCAAGGCCUGACACUUAUUUUGCUGGCAAGGCAACUGAUUCCUCCUCUCAACAUCGCUUAUGCAGCUUUCAGUUCUUCAGUAAUUUAUGCAAUUUUGGGAUCAUGUCAUCAAAUGUCCAUUGAUUUGCCAUUUCAGCUGGACUUAAUUUAAUUUGGAUUCUAACGGCGAGAGACAGAGGGAUAUUAUAAAUCCCUAUCCUUAAGUCAAAUAAAACUCAGACACAAAUUUGAGCAGAUUGCAAAGUCAUUUUUACCUGUAAAGUCUUGCAAGUUAAUCCAGCCUUCAGAAGAACAAAGACUUUAUACUACAUGAGGAGCAACUCCCUAAACUAUCAAAGUGUAAAACCCAAGGCGACUACUCUCCUGGGCCUCUCAGCUGCAGUACAAAUGGAUUUGUUCUGACAAGACUCCAUCUUCACCUAUGCAGCUUUCCUGAGCUUUGGAGCCUGGCUUGUAAUGAAUCCUAGGCUUCUGUUGUCCCUUCCUUCCUAUUUGUAAGUAAUGUUCCAUGGACACCUUUGCUCUAUCUAUAGUAUCCCAGUAUAUCCAAUGAAGUUUGAUUCAGUUGCUCAGCUUAACUAGCCUCCCUCAGCAGAGUUAGAGAAAAGCACCACUCACAUGUCUUGAAUCACAAGUUGCCUCAAGAUGUAAAAGCCUCAAUAAAGGGAGAAUCUGAAUUAUUAGCAUUAAAAGAAGCCUCCUUUAAUUAAAACAGCAAAACCCAUGGAAAAAAAAGAACACCUUCAGGAUUGUGAAAAUGAGGUUCCUGUUAUGCAGCAAAGUGGACACUAUUACAUUUUUGCUCUCAUUGUACAAUUUGUGUUUUCCACAUAUCUCCUAAUAUUACUUUCAAUUUAUAAAGCAAUACCAUCACCAACAAUAAAUCAAUAGCUACACCUCUACUGUAUGUCAAAUACUGUGCUAGACCCUGAAGUAGAGAGUUGAAUAAGAUGUAGUCUCUGACCUUCAAAAGUUGGGAGACAGAUAUGUAAAUAAAACAUUCCAAUAGUACUAAAGAGUAAAACAACAGGUUUGCACAAAGAACAAAAUACCUCAAAGGUGUGAUUCAUUCAUCUGGAUGUGUGGAUUGGGCAGGGAAAAGUUGAGCUAAGAGGUUUUGCAGAGGUCAUAUCUGAGCUUACCCAGUUAAGCCCAUUUCCUUCUCAACUGUAAAUGACUUGUCCUGAUGAAAAGGUGAUUAAUGCACCAAUUAUACCGUCUAAGAGUGUAUACAAUGAAAGCUAAGCCUCUUUCUCACUCUACAUUUUUUAUGGUAUCUAUGCAUGCAAGCAAGCAAAUCACAACUUUAAACAACCAAACAAGAAUAAGCAAAUAGAAAACCAAGCACUUAAAUGUUCAGGUAUUUUAUUACCUAUCAAUUUUCUCCUACAGAAACCAAUUUCAGAUACCUUGUGAAUACCACUUUUCCUUACUUGGGGAGUUCUUCACCUUCUUUUUAUCUAAAUAGCUCUAGCAGGAUGAGUGGUCGAAUCUGUUUCAUUGUAUUUAUAUUUAAGUUCUCAGACACUGUAGCUUGGGGGAUGUAGCCUUCAUAUAUAGAAAGCAAAUGUCAAGUUGCAAAAGGAAUUUGUAGUUGGAGAGUCAAGGUUCUGAUGUUUUUUCUUCAUCUACAAUUUAGACCUCAAUGUACUGUCUCUUAGCUUCUAGAUCAUUCUUUUCUUUUUGUAAAGAGUAGUGGAUAAUAAUUACUGUCAAUAGGCUCAAGUGUAACAACCAGGGUUUCAGAGCCAUAUAAUUUAAAGACUAGAAAGAACCUCAGAUAACAUAAAAAUAUAUUAUUUUUCAGCUAAAGAAGCCCAGAGAAGUAAAAUGAUUUGCCUCAGUUAAUACAAGUAGAUAGUGGCAUGACUUUCAGUAGAACUAAUUCCUGUUUCCUUUAAAAGUGGUCUGUAUCUUAAUACAAAAGCUGAAAUAGAGACACUGGAGAGCUUAUUACAGUACAUAUUGCUGGAUCCUACUGCCAGAGGUUGUAAUUCAUCAGGUCUAAUGGAGGCCCAGUAAUCUGCAUUUCUAGCAACUUUCUGGCUGCUGCUGCUGCCUUGGUAAGAACACAUUGAGAAACCUGUUCUACAGCAUGCAUCUUGAGUCCUCACAUAAGUAUUCUUAAACCCAAGCUUGCAAUAACUUAGUAGAAAGAAGUUCUGACUCUAAAGUCAACAUUUCCUUUUCCCUCCUAAUAAGACACUUCAUCUCUCUGUGGUACACGUAAAGGUUUGCUCUAGGACCUGAAGAUUUUCUCUUGGUUAAUUACUUAUUAAUUUAAUUUAAAGCCAGUUAAUGU